AUGACUGUUGUAGAAAAAAGAAAAGCCUGUAGGUCUCCCUUCCUCCCUCCUUCUCUCUGUCUACCUCAGCAUUUCUGGGGUUCACUCUGCUCUGGGUACUGUGUAAAGGACUCCACAGCCAUCAACUUCCCUUCAUCCUUGCCGCGUCUUUGAAAGAGCUGAGAUUUCUUUACAUCACAGUGGUUCAAGGAGAAAAACACAGCCAGAUCCUUCCUCAUCUCAACAUAAUUAAACCCAGAGGCAGUCAGCGCCACAGUCCACACUCGUAACCGUUACACUCACCUGGAAAUAAAAGUAUUUUUGUGUGGGGACUGCAAGGACUAAGCCCGGCCGCACUCCGAGUCUCUCCUCCUCACAGUUAAUUGUUUUCUUGGCACUCUCUCCCUUCUCACCUGUGACUACCUGAGUGUCCCCAGAGGCAAGGAACUAUGUGAGCCACUCCAGUGUUCCCAGCCCCAAGGCCAGGCACAGUGGACAUUUAUUGCUGAAUGAAUGAAUCAAGAGAGAGGAUCAGAAAGCUGCAGAGGAUGAUAGAUCUGCAAAAUUCUCCCUGGGUGAGGCCCAGGCUCAGGUUCCAGAACAGCUCCAUCUGUCUCCCACUCACUGAGAUUGAACUAAUGUCCCACAGUUGGACAGACCUGAAACUGAGCUAUGUGAUCUUGGAUACCUGCCCCUCUGCUGGAGAUUCUGCAUGUCUGAGGUACCAGCCAUUGCCAGAAACUGGGCUAUGUUCUCUCCUUUCAUCGUGCCAUUUCAUUCUCACCCCAAAAUGAAAACACACAAA
rnacentral:lncRNA from 1 species